rnacentral:rRNA from 1 species
UACGUAGGGGGCAAGCGUUGUCCGGAAUUAUUGGGCGUAAAGAGCGUGUAGGCGGUCCUGUAAGUCGUCUGUGAAAGUCCAGGGCUCAACCCUGGGAUGCCGGUCGAUACUGCCGGACUAGAGUUCGGAAGAGGCGAGUGGAAUUCCCGGUGUAGCGGUGAAAUGCGCAGAUAUCGUAAGGAAGACCAGUGGCGAAGGCGGGUCUCUGGACAGUUCCUGACGCUGAGGCACGAAGGUCAGGGGAGCAAACGGG